rnacentral:rRNA from 1 species
ACGGAAGGCAGCAGUAGGGAAUCUUCCACAAUGGGCGAAAGCCUGAUGGAGCAACGCCGCGUGUGUGAUGAAGGGUUUCGGCUCGUAAAACACUGUUGUAAGAGAAGAAUGACAUUGAGAGUAACUGUUCAAUGUGUGACGGUAUCUUACCAGAAAGGAACGGCUAAAUACGUGCCAGCCGCCGCUGUAAUACGUAGGUUCCAAGCGUUAUCCGGAUUUAUUGGGCGUAAAGCGAGCGCAGACGGUUAUUUAAGUCUGAAGUGAAAGCCCUCAGCUCAACUGAGGAAUUACUUUGGAAACUGGAUAGCUUGAGUGCAGUAGAGGAAAGUGGAACUCCAUGUGUAGCGGUGAAAUGCGUAGAUAUAUUGAAGAACACCAGUGGCGAAUGCGGCUUUCUGGACUGUAACUGACGUUGAGGCUCGAGAGUGUGUGUAGCAAACAGGAUUAGAUACCCUGGUA